rnacentral:rRNA from 1 species
UACGAAGGGAGCUAGCGUUGUUCGGAAUUACUGGGCGUAAAGCGCGCGUAGGUGGCUAUUCAAGUCAGGGGUGAAAUCCCGGGGCUCAACCCCGGAACUGCCUUUGAAACUGUAUAGCUUGAGUCUCGGAGGGGAUGGUGGAAUUUCUAAUGUAGCGGUGAAAUGCGUAGAGAUUAGAAGGAACACCGGUGGCGAAGGCGACCAUCUGGACGAGUACUGACACUGAGGCGCGAAAGCGUGGGUAGCAAACAGG